AUAAUUUUAUUACAAAAUACUUAAAUAAUAAAUUAUUGUAAUCAAAUAUAACGAUAGUGAAACAAAUAAAUAAUUUAUGUAUAAUGUGAUUUCUAUAAUUUUCAAUCACGAUUUUAAUUGUCAACACGUACUGCCAUCUAGAAUAGUAAUGAAGAUCUGGUGGGAAAAAUACGUAGAGAACAUGCAAUUCAUUCGACGAAGCAAAUAUGAAUGUCAUGGACAAAAUAAUUGUGAAAAAAGAAAUGCAAAAAAAGAUUUUAGAAUAUAUUACUUGAAAUUAAGAAAACCUUUUAUAUUAAUUUAUUUUCGUAAUAUGCGUAAAUAAUGUUAUAUGAUUGAAUAUAUUCAUACGCUUAUCAUAAAGAAACAUAUAAAAAACACAAAGCAUACUUGAAUAACGAUAGAAACUGACGCAUAUCAUACAGUACUAAAGGAACUUACCAAAACAGUAUAUUAAAUACGAUGACGACAGAAAUACUAUUCACAGAAUUCUCCCAAAGAAGGAUACUUUCCAAAAUACCACAAAGUCGCCUCGAAGCUUCAAAAUUACAUCCGACAUUUCGAUAUCGUUCAACUUUAAUAGUUUUCUGUUCGUCCUCAACCUCACUUGCAUCAUGAGAUGUCGCGUUUCUCAUCCAUCGAAAA